UUAGUUUAGGUGUUCAUGAAUC
rnacentral:siRNA from 1 species